AAUUUGAACAAAUGGAAAUGCAAUUUUUUGUGCGUCCUGGUACGCAAAAAGAAUGGUAUGAACAAUGGAAAGAAA
rnacentral:sRNA from 1 species